AGUCUCCUGAGAAAUAUCUUCAUUUGAAGGUAAUAACUUUUAUAUUUUCAUCUUGAAUUAUUAACUAAAUAUUGUAUGACAUACACAUCAUACAUUAAUUAUUUUGUUUCAAAGCCCAUUCAGCCUACCAUUGAAAUGAAACAUUCUGCUUCUAAUAAAGCAGUAGAAAUGAAGGAUGUAGGGACCUCCACAUCAGGUUCAUCCACGCUGUUGCAAAUCAUCUGCAUAUCUCUGAGUUGUUCUUACCCUUCUUCCCCACUCCAAACACUAUACACAGAAAUGAAUGGAAAUGAAGCACAUGAAACAUUUGACUGCUAUAGACAGUCCAAGAAUAUCAUCUAUAAUAAUUACUGGAUCCAUGGCUGGAUUUUCCCAGAUGGCAUUUGGAUGCUUGCUUGGUGGCCUGAAGAUAAACUGGAAAGUAGCACAGCAACUGCCAUUAAGUGCCAAAUAAUCUCAUACCUAACGCCACCUCUGAAGCUGCACAUGACUGGGAGCGAAGACCAAGAAUCAUGCCCAUGAGUCAUCAUCCUGGCCUGCCGUCAUUCCUUAUCUUGCUGACUCUUAGGAGCCACUUGUCCAGGCAUGGUGGCUUAUGUCUAUAAUUCCAGCACUUGGGAGGCUGAGGUAGAAGGAUUACUUAAGCCCAGGAGUUCAAGACCAGCCUGAGCAGCAUAGCAAGACCCUGUCUCUAGAAAAAAAAAAUUUUUUUUUUAAUUAGCCAGGCAUAGUGGUACAUGCCCGUGGUCCCAGAUACUUAGGAAGCUGAGACAGGAGGAUCAUUUGAGUCCGGGAGGUUGAGGCUACAGUGAGCCAUGAUCACAUCAGUGCAUUCUAGCCUGGGCAACAGAGUGAGACCCUAUUUCAAAUAGUUAAAAAAAAAAAAAAAAGUCACUUGAAAAGAUUUAUUAUUAAGAUGUGAUAUUCUUAUCCGGGUUUCUUUUUUUUUUCUCCUCCUCUUCCUUUCCUCCCUUCCUCCUUAUCCCGAUCUUCCUCCUUCUGAGCGCAUACUAUACGUCAGGCUUUUUUUUUUUUUUUUUUUUUUUUUUUUUUUUGAGACAGAGUCGCACUCUGUUGCCCUGGCUGGAGUACAGUGGCACGAUCUCGGCUCACAGUAUCACAGUAGCCUCUGUCUCCCUGCAGCCUCCACCUCCCAGGUUCAAGUGAUUCUUCUGCCUCAGCCUCCUGAGUAGCUGGGAUUAUAGGUUCCUACUACCAUGCCUGGCUAAUUUUUGUAUUUUUAGUAGACACGGGGUUUCACCAUGUUGGCCAUGCUGGUCUCAAACUCCUGAUCUCAGGUGAUCCACCUGCCUUGGCCUCCCAAAGUGCUGGGAUUAUAGGCAUGAGCCACUGCACCCAGCCUCCAUGAUUGACUGUCUGAUUCUCCAUAAUUUGUUGAAGUCUUUGCCCUUUAUUGUUUCCUAAGGAAACCCCGAAAGAGGCUGUGGUCUGAACCUUCCCCUAACUCCUCUCUUCUGCCUCCUGAUCACCCUGGUGCUUCCCUGUGUGGCCUGCAUGGCAUGUCCACUUCCUGUCCCUAGGACCUGUGAGUGCAAUAAACCCUGUCUGCCUGAACCUCUGCUGUGCUUCCUUUUGUGGCUGUACCUGACUGACCAUCUCAUAAAAAGUACAAAACACCUUGUCUCCUAGCCCUGCAUGACCAAAGCAGCCUACGUGCACAACAUGCAGCUGAACAUUCCACUGGAUUCUGAGAGGAACUCAGGUGUUGGUCAUAGAUACUGAUGAGGCCAUGGCAACCUUGCGCCUGAUUUGGCAGUAUAGCCCACUGUGUUGUUAAUUUCUAGGCAGUGUUCCCUGCUGUUAUUCUUGCAGCCCCUUCUCUCUUGUUCUUGUUAGUCUGGAGGUCCUUCCUUUGAACUUGACAUCUUUCCAUACUCUCAGCCAUCCUCUUUUCCCUUAUUUUACCAGUAUAAAAUAUUAAUUCCAUAAACAAUCCCCUAUCAACCUGCUCUUGUCUUCCCUAAAUUUUCACAAAUAUUAUGAAACAUGUCUGUAUAAUUUAGGGCAAGAUCAGAACUAGAAAUAUAAAUUUUGGAGAUAUCAGAUACAUAUUUUUAUAGCUACAUGUUUUGAUGAAAUAAUCUGCAGAAGAGGGACUGAUACAGGUUUUGUGAUACUUCAAUCUUUUAUGCAUUUGAGGGUUUUCUGCAAGACAAUAUAUAAUUAUCAAUCAAAUUCAAGCAUAAAAGUGGAUUUCACUUAGGGUAAAUUUAGAGUAUUAGAAUGAACAUUUAUUUAGAAUCUACACGAAUUAUAAUUUUUAACUGUUGAAUAAAAUACCACAAACAUCAUAAAAUCCAGAAAAAUAGUAUUUGCAUUAAUUUACCACCUGAUACACUCCUAUAAUAUUUCCCCACCUGUUUUGGCUAUAUAUUCUUUAGUCACGUCUUUAUACAACAAUAAUUUUGGAAUAUUUCCCAUGAGGGAAUAGGAAAUUCAGUCUGUCCUCUAACAGGCUUAUGGAACUUAACAAAAAAAAAAACAGUUAAAAAUGUUUCUUCUAACAUCACCAGUUUUUAUUGGCAAUGUGCAAAUUUUUAGGAUUGUUUUCAAAUGUGGGAAAAUCUCCUUGAGUAUUUCUUAAAUAUAUAAACUAUAAAAUAUCAGAGUAUUUGAAGUUUUCAUUCUCAGUGAUUAUUUUUUUCCCUGAUAUUUGUUUAUGUAUUCAUUUAGUCCUAGAAUAGUUCAGCAAACCACAGAUCACAAACCACAUCUGCUGCUUGAUUUUAAAUGGCUCAUAAGAUAAAAAUAUAUUUUACAUUUUUAAAUGGUUAAAUCAAAAGAAUAUUUUGUGACACACAAAAGCUGUAGAAUAGUCAAAUUUCAGUGUUCGUAGGUAAAGUUUUAUUGGAACACAGUCAAAUUUAUUUGCAUAGCAUCUAUAGUUGCUUUCACAUUACAAGGGCCAUAUCGUUCAUGAAACAUGAAAUAUUUACUUUCUUGCCCUCUACAGAAAAAGUUUGCUGACCCAUUGCCUAGAAUAUAUGCAUAAACAAAAACAACCAAUUAACUAACAAUUAUCAAAUCCUUGCCACAAUAUCAAAUCCAACUAUUUUUAAAGGAGUUUAUAGUAGUUUAUCUAUUUUUAAAAUUAUCAUAUACUCCAGUGGUCCAUUUUAUUCAAACUUUGUUGGCCAACGUCACCAGCCAGCCAGUUACUGCUGUGGGUGGAACAUCAAUCUUAAGACACUUGGACCAACAUCCACUGAUUACCCUUGUGCAGUGACUAAUUUUAAAUACUCUGGAUUGACAAAGUUUCAUUAACCAAUUGGUUGUUGAUGGAUGCACUUACUGUAAGCAGUGUAUCAUGCAUUUUACGUUAUUAUUAAUUAGAUUAUUCAUGAAAAGCCAACUCUUUACUCUUCCCGAAAUUUAUUUUAACUCAGUGAAUUACUGCUUUUAAUAUGAUCUGAACAAUUUCUUGUUGCAAUUCACUUUUUAAAGUCAAAAUAAUCUCUACUGAUUUCACUGACCAUCUUUGCUGAUUUUGUCUGACAUUCUAUUCAUUUCUUCUGAAUUUUAUCACCUUUAAAAUAAGCAAAUUUAAAUAGGACAAAAACUGUCCUUUGUGUAAAUUCAAAUCAGGAAUCUGUAAUUUCUCACUUAUGUUAUUGAAAUAGUCAAUGUGUAUUUAAGUUGCGGGUAAAUGGCAUUUUCCUAGCUCACUUUUUUCUUAGCUGGGUUUUAUUCUCCCACCAUUGUCAACAAAAUAUACAUUUGAAAACUAAAAUUAAUAUCACUAAUAUCAGUCUGGUUUCACUUAGCUGGAUUCCCAAAGAAGUGCUUGGCUACUCCAGUAACCUCUGAUAGAAGGAAUUAUGGAGGAAGCCAUAGUGGAAAAAGACAAAGAUUAUCUGGUAAUGAUUAAAAUAUCUAAUUUUUUCUUAAUAUUUUACAAAUACCGUAUGGUGAUAUGAACACAUUUUGAGGGCUUUUGCGCCUCAUGUGACAUGAAGUCACCUCCCAGAAUGAGGCAUUGUGUAUAAAAAAGUCCUACAAUAAUCCUCCAGGGUACCUCUACUGUUUAGAGAUAGUUUAGAGGAGAUGUAACAAAAAUAAAAACAAAAAGACUGAGAAGAAGAUAAAAAUACCCAUCCAGUGGGAUAAAAGUAAGAUGGAGGUAUUAAUUGCACUUGGGGCAGGCUACAGACAUGGGUAGUAUUUAAAAUAGGUUUAAGGGAGUGGAUAGAGUACAUAAAAACUCACUUAAAUUAUGGACAUUUUUUAUUAGUUUCUUGUGCUUAACCGUACAUCCUUUCAACUUUACAUUAAUCUAACCCUUUAUACAUUAACAAAGGAAAGUUCUUAGCACACUUGAUAUAUUUAUAAAUUUGAGUAUUAAACUAAUUCAGAGAAGUCAUACAACGUUUCACAUCAAAGCAUAUUAUUUAUCUAUAAUUAAUUAUAAUAAAACCACAAAGCAUUAGGUAUUGAAGCAGAUUCUUAGGUAUAUAAGGUAUUAUUAAUGGUUAUCAAAUGCAUUAUAGAGAACCAUAAGUAGGUGAUGACGAUCAAGUCUCAGGGAAGCCAUUGCAAUUUGUGACACUGAAGACACUCUUUAGUAAAUUUUUACUUGUAGAGAUCACACACUAGAUAUUAAUUCCUCUACUACUGUCU
ensembl:lncRNA